UCAUUCAGCCAGCAUUAGGGUUUUAAACCCUAAACUGAACUUUUUCAUUCAGUCAGCAUUAGGGUUUUAAACCCUAAACUGAACUUUUCUUGUAGUCAAUAUUAGGGUUUUAAACCCUAAACUGAACUUUUUCCAUUCAGUUAGCGUUAGUGUUUUUAAACCCUAAACUAAACUUUUCCUUUAUUCAGCAUUAGGGUUUUAAACCCUAAACUAAACUCCUUUCCAUUCAGUCAACAUUAGGGUUUUAAACCUUAAACAUAACUCUUUUCCUUUAGUCAGCAUUAGGGUUUUAAACCCUAAACUGAACUUUUUCCCUUCAAUCAGAAUUAGGGUUUUUAAACCCUAAACUGAACUUUUUCCAUUAGUCAGCAUUAGGGUUUUAAACCCUAAACUUAACUUUUUCCUGUAGUCAGAGUCAGCAUUAGGGUUUUAAACCCUAAACUGAACUCUUUUUCAUCUAGUCAGCAUUAGGGUUUUAAACCCUAAACUGAACUCUUUUCCAUUA
rnacentral:lncRNA from 1 species